GCUCUCUUACUUCUUCUACCAUACGCUUCGUGUACUUUAUUGGGAAUUGCGAUAACGAUAUGGUACAGAGGAUGUGAUCCAGGGCUGUCAGGUGCCAUAAAGAGGAUUGACCAGAUUAUACCACACUACAUAAAUACUGAACUUGUAAAUAUACCCGGACUUGCAGGACUCUUCUUGGCUGGUGUUGUAAGCGCUGCAACAAGCACAAUAUCAUCCGCGAUAAAUUCGCAAGCAGCAAUCCUCUACAUCGACGUCAUCUCUCAAGGAUAUAAAAGAGCAGACGAGCACGUUUUGAUGAUUACACGUACCACU